AGUUUCUGAUUUUGGUCUAAUCCAAUUUCUAGUUUAGGUCUAAUUCAACUUUCGGUUCAUGUCUAUUCCAACUUUGGGUCCAGACUUGAUUCAUCUUCUGGUUCAGGUCUGAUUCAGCUUCUGGUUCAGGUCUGGUUCAAUUUCUGAUUCAUACAUGAUUCUACUUUUGGUUCAAGUCUAAUCUAAUUUUUAGUCAAGAUCUGAUCCAAUUUCUAGUUCAGGUCUAACCCAUU
rnacentral:lncRNA from 1 species